rnacentral:rRNA from 1 species
AACGAACGCUGGCGGCAUGCCUAACACAUGCAAGUCGAACGAGACCUUCGGGUCUAGUGGCGCACGGGUGCGUAACGCGUGGGAACCUGCCCUUAGGUUCGGAAUAACUCCCCGAAAGGGGUGCUAAUACCGGAUAAUGUCUUCGGACCAAAGAUUUAUCGCCUUUGGAUGGGCCCGCGUUGGAUUAGCUAGUUGGUAGGGUAAAAGCCUACCAAGGCGACGAUCCAUAGCUGGUCUGAGAGGAUGAUCAGCCACACUGGGACUGAGACACGGCCCAGACUCCUACGGGAGGCAGCAGUGGGGAAUAUUGGACAAUGGGCGAAAGCCUGAUCCAGCAAUGCCGCGGGAGUGAUGAAGGCCUUAGGGUGGUAAAGCUCUUUUACCCGGGAUGAUAAGGACAGUACCGGGAGAAUAAGCUCCGGCUAACUCCGU